AUUGAACGCUGGCGGCAUGCCUUACACAUGCAAGUCGAACGCGUGUAGCAAUACACGAGUGGCGAACGGGUGAGUAAAGCAUCGGAACGUACCCAGUCGUGGGGGAUAACGUAGCGAAAGUUACGCUAAUACCGCAUACGAUCUGAGGAUGAAAGCGGGGGAUCGCAAGACCUCGCGCGAUUGGAGCGGCCGAUGUCGGAUUAGCUAGUUGGCGGGGUAAAAGCCCACCAAGGCGACGAUCCGUAGCUGGUCUGAGAGGACGACCAGCCACACUGGGACUGAGACACGGCCCAGACUCCUACGGGAGGCAGCAGUGGGGAAUUUUGGACAAUGGGCGAAAGCCUGAUCCAGCCAUGCCGCGUGAGUGAAGAAGGCCUUCGGGUUGUAAAGCUCUUUCAGACGGAAAGAAAUCGGGUAGGUAAAUAAUCUACCCGGAUGACGGUACCGUAAGAAGAAGCACCGGCUAACUACGUGCCAGCCGCCGCCGUAACAC
rnacentral:rRNA from 1 species